rnacentral:miRNA from 1 species
GCAUUAUGGUCGGAGCAAGUUUUUGGACAAAUUUCAAAUUAAACAAAGUGGAAAUUUGUCCAAAAACUUGCUCCGACCAUAAUGC